rnacentral:misc_RNA from 1 species
CAGCGCCUCUUUGGCGCUCUGUCAUCAUUGCCGUCAAGCAACGGCGCGGCAGCCUCUCGCGACCACACGCCUCCACCUCGAUCUCGUUGGUUCGUUUUCCUUCCCAGCACGGCAUCUCCUUCCUGAGCAAUGCCGCCGUCACCGGGCACAACCUCGGACAUCUACCUCCUGAUACUGCCGGCCAUAUUUGGUUUUGUGCUGCCCUUCGUUGCUGCGAUCGGUUUCUACCAGUGCAUAUCCUACAGCCGUGCCAAAGCCAUCUACGAGAAGCGCAUCUUGGUCGUGCGGAAGAAACUUCGCCACCGACUGCGCCAGUUCAAGGCGGAAGGUGUCGUUACACCACGUCACAAGAUGCGCGAGCACGGCUUCAAGGACUUGUGCGAGCUCUCUAGCGAUGACGACGAUCACACCACUCCGGGCAGCAGUCCCAGGAGGGAGAACCACAGCCUGCCUAGCGACUCACGGACGUCCGAUCGAACAAACUCGCAGAGGUCUACCAACCGCAGCGGUGAGCCAUGCCCCUCUUUUGUGCUAGAAGAUGUGAGUAUGUUGGAGAGUGAGGAAGGUUCCUCGGACGAUUCGUGGUGAGCGGUGCGAGUCUGCUAUGCCCUUGCAACGUUGUACGGCGUCCUCUUCUUUGCCUGUGGUGUGCGGUAGCCAAUAUAUGUGUAUAGCCUGGCCACUUCCGUCUCUCAGAUGACCUCGAGCCGCGCCACUUCCUCGGGAACUUCUUGUUUCUUUUUUCCUCCAUAUAUCCCCCUCCCUCUUUUUUACUUCCAUCUGCUUUCCGUACAUCUCUCCCGCCUACCUUGACUGGAUGGCGCUCGUGGCGUCUGUUGUCUUUCCUUUUGGUUUUCUUCAUUGGUUGGAAUCUCAUGUCUUCCUUGUCCCCCCUUUUCGCUCUUGUCUGAUCCCCCCUCCCUAUUCUACGCAAACACGCACACACACACACCUCCCUGAGCGGUGCAUUCUCAUCUCUGUCUCCGUCUCUCUUCAUGUGGAUUGAAGCAGCGCCCAGCCUCUUUCG